GCCAGACUCCUACGGGAGGCAGCAGUGGGGAAUAUUGGGCAAUGGGCGCAAGCCUGACCCAGCAACGCCGCGUGAAGGAAGAAGGCUUUCGGGUUGUAAACUUCUUUUGACAGGGAAGAGUAGAAGACGGUACCUGUCGAAUAAGCCACGGCUAACUACGUGCCAGCAGCCGCGGUAAUACGUAGGGGGCAAGCGUUAUCCGGAUUUACUGGGUGUAAAGGGAGCGUAGACGGCAGCGCAAGUCUGAAGUGAAAUGCCGGGGCUUAACCCCGGAACUGCUUUGGAAACUGUGCAGCUAGAGUGCAGGAGAGGUAAGUGGAAUUCCUAGUGUAGCGGUGAAAUGCGUAGAUAUUGGGAGGAACACCAGUGGCGAAGGCGGCCUGCUGGACAUUAACUGACGCUGAGGCGCGAAAGCGUGGGGAGCAAACAGGAUUAGAUACCCGUGUA
rnacentral:rRNA from 1 species